rnacentral:rRNA from 1 species
UACGAAGGGGGCUAGCGUUGUUCGGAAUUACUGGGCGUAAAGCGCACGUAGGCGGUUAUUCAAGUCAGAGGUGAAAGCCCGGAGCUCAACUCCGGAAUUGCCUUUGAAACUAGAUAACUUGAACGUCGGAGAGGUGAGUGGAAUUCCGAGUGUAGAGGUGAAAUUCGUAGAUAUUCGGAAGAACACCAGUGGCGAAGGCGGCUCACUGGACGACUGUUGACGCUGAGGUGCGAAAGCGUGGGGAGCAAACAGG